rnacentral:rRNA from 1 species
GACGAACGCUGGCGGCGUGCUUAACACAUGCAAGUCGAACGAAGUGGCGAACGGGUGAGUAACGCGUAAUCAACCUGCCCUUCAGAGGGAGAUAACAGUUGGAAACGACUGCUAAUACCGAAUACUGAAGGAGGGGAUUGCGUCUGAUUAGCUCGGUGGAGGGGUAACGGCCCACCAAGGCGAUGAUCAGGAGCCGGUCUGAGAGGAGGAACGGCCACAUUGGGACUGAGAAACGGCCCAGACUCCUACGGGAGGCAGCAGUGGGGAAUCUUCCGCAAUGGACGAAAGUCUGACGGAGCAAAGCCGCGUGAGUGAUGACGGCCUUCGGGUUGUAAAGGUCUGUUAAUCGGGACGCGGUACCGGAAUAGAAAGCCACGGCUAACUACGUGCCAGCAGCCGCGGUAAUUC